rnacentral:rRNA from 1 species
UACGUAGGGCGCAAGCGUUAUCCGGAAUUAUUGGGCGUAAAGAGCUCGUAGGCGGUUUGUCGCGUCUGCCGUGAAAGUCCGGGGCUCAACUCCGGAUCUGCGGUGGGUACGGGCAGACUAGAGUGAUGUAGGGGAGACUGGAAUUCCCAGUGUAGCGGUGAAAUGCGCAGAUAUUGGGAAGAACACCAGUGGCGAAGGCGGUUCUCUGGGCCUGUGCUGACGCUGAGGAGCGAAAGCGUGGGGAGCGAACAGG